CCUACGGGAGGCAGCAGUGAGGAAUAUUGGUCAAUGGGCGGGAGCCUGAACCAGCCAAGUCGCGUGAGGGAAGACGGUCCUAUGGAUUGUAAACCUCUUUAGGCGGGGAGCAAUGCCGGGCACGCGUGCCCGGCGGGAGAGUACCCGCAGAAUAAGCAUCGGCUAACUCCGUGCCAGCAGCCGCGGUAAUACGGAGGAUGCGAGCGUUAUCCGGAUUUAUUGGGUUUAAAGGGUGCGUAGGCGGCCUUUUAAGUCAGCGGUGAAAGUCUGUGGCUCAACCAUAGAAUUGCCGUUGAAACUGGGGGGCUUGAGUAUGUUUGAGGCAGGCGGAAUGCGUGGUGUAGCGGUGAAAUGCUUAGAUAUCACGCAGAACCCCGAUUGCGAAGGCAGCCUGCCAAGCCAUGACUGACGCUGAUGCACGAAAGCGUGGGGAUCAAACAGGAUUAGAUACCCUAGUAGUC
rnacentral:rRNA from 1 species